rnacentral:rRNA from 1 species
AUUGAACGCUGGCGGCAGGCCUAACACAUGCAAGUCGAGCGGCAGCGGGAAGUAGCUUGCUACUUUGCCGGCGAGCGGCGGACGGGUGAGUAAUGUCUGGGAAACUGCCUGAUGGAGGGGGAUAACUACUGGAAACGGUAGCUAAUACCGCAUGACCUCGAAAGAGCAAAGUGGGGGAUCUUCGGACCUCACGCCAUCGGAUGUGCCCAGAUGGGAUUAGCUAGUAGGUGAGGUAAUGGCUCACCUAGGCGACGAUCCCUAGCUGGUCUGAGAGGAUGACCAGCCACACUGGAACUGAGACACGGUCCAGACUCCUACGGGAGGCAGCAGUGGGGAAUAUUGCACAAUGGGCGCAAGCCUGAUGCAGCCAUGCCGCGUGUGUGAAGAAGGCCUUAGGGUUGUAAAGCACUUUCAGCGAGGAGGAAGGCAUCACACUUAAUACGUGUGGUGAUUGACGUUACUCGCAGAAGAAGCACCGGCUAACUCCGUGCCAGCAGCCGCGGUAAUACGGAGGGUGCAAGCGUUAAUCGGAAUUACUGGGCGUAAAGCGCACGCAGGCGGUUUGUUAAGUCAGAUGUGAAAUCCCCGCGCUUAACGUGGGAACUGCAUUUGAAACUGG